UUUGUACUCCCUCAUCCCAAAAUUCUUGUCUUAAAUUUGUCUAAAUACGGAUGUAUCUAGUUACAUUUUAGUGUUAGAUACAUUCGUAUCUAAACAAAUGUAAGACAAGAAUUUUGGGACGGAGGGAAUACUAC
rnacentral:pre_miRNA from 1 species